AUCUUUGAAUCUUUAAUUGAUUGUGUUUCCUUUCUUGCUUAUGCAGGCACUUGAGACAGCCAUUGAUAAACAGCGGGAGCUUCAGACCUACAUUGACAAGAAAAAGAAGAAGAAGAAGUUUGUAAGUUACCAAAAGUCAAAUCAUGCAAACUUUAAAUAUGUAUAUAUAGGUGUAUCCCUCACAUCUAAUUUUCUUGGAUUUGUGGCUGCAGAACCCAUUUCGCUGGCUAAGAUGAAAAUUGGGUGCUGGAUGGCGUUGGUGAUAUGCACUGAGAUUUCAGCCCAUAGAUGUAUUGCUUGCCUAUAUUGUUUUG
rnacentral:lncRNA from 1 species